UACCAUUUCACAGCUGACGUCUGCAAGCACUUCACGGGAAAGCCAACUCCUGGAUGGGUGAAUCGACUUGCCAGAUUAGCACUAUGUUCCAUCCGCAACUCUGUGCUGACUGAAAACAUCAAGGUUUCAGCGGUUAGAGGUGAAACUGCACACCUUGAAUUCUCUGCCGAGAACCACAACCACCAGCAUGCAGCUCAGGCAAUGGGCGGAGAACGGAUGGUUGCCCACUUCACGUAAAGCGAAUGGUGGAUGGAAGGCGACCUCACAAGGAACCAGGGCCACGACUUGCAGUGGGCAACCGGUGGCGAAUGGAGGGCUUCCUCGCCGGUUACCUCAUCUAUUAGGUACUUACCCAACUGGU